UAAAAUGACUGCUGCUUUAAUGUUAUCGUUGGCUGUGAUGUUUAUUAUGUAUUACAAAUAGCUUUGAACAAGCAUCCAUGAACAGUAGCGUCCACUUUCUGAAUGUUCAGUCAUAACUCAUUCUUUUUUCACAAUUUCAUAUCCUGAUGCCAUUACUUUACAUCUGUAUUCUAAUUUAUUUAUAAAAAUAAACUUAUUUUCCUUAUAAAAAACUUUUUAAGCACACAUCUUUUACCUGAUGUGUAGUAAGUGCUUCAGACUGUUGUCCCUAGUUCAAAACUUGCCAUCUGCCUUGCUGUCCUGCAGGAUGUUCAGGCUAGGACAUAAUAAUCUUCAUUUUUGAAGGAAUGUCCUAAAUUUUUAAAACAAAAACAGGAAGUCGCAAGUUGUGAUAAAAUUGAGGAAUUCCAUUUUAGGUCUUGAACUUCUGGAAGAAAAAUAAAACAUCUUUUGGUCUGUUUAUUUUUUUAACAGAUAUUUAAGGUAUCAAUUCAGUAUAUUGUUUCAUCAUGUUACCAUUGUUUUUACAACGCCAGUUAAGCUUCAAAUGUAUUGCUGCUUAUAAUAGUCUGCAUCAAGAUUGAUUUUUGACGCCAUUUACUGAAAAUGUCCACAUUCCAGCGUAGUUAAGUGAGAGCUACCAACUUUUUCUUUUCAAACGCAAAUUAAACAAAAUACUAAUUUUAAAAAGUUUCCCCUUUCAGACCUUGCAAUCUAUGGGGCAGAUGAUGUAAAAUUCUGUUACUGUGGCCCAUGAUUAACUUAUAGAUAUCCAUAAACCAUGAGUUAUUUAUAUUUUUGUUGCCUGGUGUUAAAAUUUUCUAACAUAGAUUUAUUUUAAUUCUCUUAUUUCAUUUGUUAUCAGGCAAGAUUGCCUCAAAGUGAUUGUGACCUAUAUAUUUUGUCAACAAACACAUUGGCUACGCUGUUUGACUAUUUAUUAUUUUGUUCAUGUUUUUAUAUUUUAUGUACCAUGUAGACAUAUAUCAUUUGAAACAAAAAAAAAAUGUUCCAGCUGCUACAAGAUUUUGUCAAUCCUUGCAUUAUGUUAUUUUGAGUGAUUACUAAUUACUGCUUGCUCAUUAAUUCAGACUAUAAACAACUUUUGAGCAGAAGUAUCAGUGACAAAAUAUUUCACUUAAUAUAAUCCAGGUUGUUUAGCUUAUAGGACUGUGUGACUGGGCAGUUUAGCUUAAGGUUCGUUACCUUUAAGAUUUUAAGGCUACUCCAGUGUAUUAAAUCUUGAAGGGUGUCGAUAUCAUAGAUGCUUUUUUUUUUAUGUUAGUGUAACUCUUGAGAAUGUGUUUACAACAUUGUUAUACUGUUUUGUUUACAAAGGGUAAAUUCUCUUAGUUGACAAGUCCUAGUUAACUACCCAUAAUGCUCUCUCCAGAAGUUUGAUAAUGUCUUCCUGCAGUUGAUGGAAGUCCUUUUGUUAAUAGUUAUUACAAGUUUUAUGCUGUAUGAAGUCAAAUGUUUUGUAUUCACUAUAUCAUGGCUGCCUGGUUGUUUGGUAUGCGCUCUGGGCUGUCAUACAGUGGUCUUGAUGGUCCCAGUUCAAACCCUGCCCGCUGCCAUCCUCUAUCAUCCUGUAAGAGGUUUGGACUAGGAUGUAAUUAUCUUCAAAUCUGAAACAUGUAAAACAAUUAUUAGUUUUUUAAAAACAUGCCAUUUUAUGUUUCUAAUGCCUUGCUCACUCUAUUUCUCCUACUGUCUGUUCACCUUUUUAUAUCUCUCUCUCUCAGUACUUUGAGAUUUCAUAUUUCUGUUCUUUUAUGUAUUAUGUACAUUUCUUUCAUUUUUAGCAUUCGCAAACAAACUUUGAACAUUUGCUUUGGAGGAUAUUUUUGUUUGUCUGAUUCAGCAGCAUGUAGAUACAUUGCAUUUAGUGAUCUUUUGAGUAUUUCAUUUUGUUACCUUGUCAUAUAUCAGUUUUAGAACCCCUGUAAUAUUUGUUGACUAGUAG